rnacentral:rRNA from 1 species
AGAGUUUGAUCCUGGCUCAGGAUGAACGCUAGCGGCAGGCUUAACACAUGCAAGUCGAGGGGUAACAGGGAAAAGCUUGCUUUUUUGCUGACGACCGGCGCACGGGUGAGUAACGCGUAUACAAUUUACCUUAUACAGGAGGAUAGCCUUUAGAAAUGAAGAUUAAUACUCCAUGGCAUUAUGAUAUGGCAUCAUAUUAUAAUUAAAGAUUUAUCGGUAUAAGAUGAGUAUGCGUCCUAUUAGUUAGUUGGUAAGGUAAUGGCUUACCAAGACUUCGAUAGGUAGGGGUCCUGAGAGGGAGACCCCCCACACUGGUACUGAGACACGGACCAGACUCCUACGGGAGGCAGCAGUGAGGAAUAUUGGACAAUGGAGGCAACUCUGAUCCAGCCAUGCCGCGUGCAGGAAGACUGCCCUAUGGGUUGUAAACUGCUUUUAUAUAGGAAGAAACCCAACCACGUGUGGUUGGCUGACGGUACUGUAUGAAUAAGCACCGGCUAACUCCGUGCCAGCAGCCGCGGUAAUACGGAGGGUGCAAGCGUUAUCCGGAAUCAUUGGGUUUAAAGGGUCCGUAGGCGGGUAAUUAAGUCAGAGGUGAAAUCCCACAGCUUAACUGUGGAACUGCCUUAGAUACUGGUUAUCUUGAGUUUUAGUGAAGUAGAUAGAAUGUGUAGUGUAGCGGUGAAAUGCAUAGAUAUUACACAGAAUACCGAUUGCGAAGGCAGUCUACUAACUAACAACUGACGCUAAUGGACGAAAGCGUGGGGAGCGAACAGGAUUAGAUACCCUGGUAGUCCACGCCGUAAACGAUGGAUACUAGUUGUUGGGGUUUACCUCAGUGACUAAGCGAAAGUGAUAAGUAUCCCACCUGGGGAGUACGUUCGCAAGAAUGAAACUCAAAGGAAUUGAUGG